rnacentral:misc_RNA from 1 species
UUUUUUUUUUUUUAUCAAUCCAACUCGUAAUCAUAAUGUUUCCUCCUUCCCUUGACUAUUACAUUGCCUACAGAAUAAUAUGUGAAUAUGGCUAGAAAAUAUGAGUAACUUUUAACUGUUUUUCUAUUUCUUUGGACUUCUAAAUAUUUUGGUGUGUAUUUGCCAUGGUAAACAUUUUUUUCUUCUUUUCCCCUUUGCACUGGAGUCGAAAAAGUAAUCUCAAAAUAUAAAAUGGGAGACUUUCCUUACACUCAUUUUCUUUGUUGUUGCUACUAUAAUGUUCCUUAACAUCUAUUUGACUUCUGCAGCUUUUUGAUGGAAAGGAUGGA